CGGAAGAGCGCAGUCCUAAGAACAGCAAAGAUACUGCGCAGGAUUCUCAAACUCCCAGACCUCUGUGAGGUACUCCUACUCGAGCGUCAAGAAAGUAGCUCACUGCCGAUGGUUUGAAGCUCAAACGUGAAUGUGAAUCUUCAGUUCCCAUGCCAACUUUCAGAUUUCUGAUGAGAGAGAAGAGUUGUUAGCCAAACCAUGUACACGGGUUUAUCUGUAACAGAGGGCGGAUGGAUGUGGAGUCGUCAUCUGAGGUAAGUCCAGCAUUUACUUGUUUGUUUGUUUUUUAAGCUCCUGUCAUUUGCUUGUAGUUCUCCUGUAGUUUCACCAGCUGGUUGCCUUAUUUGUGUGCUCUUUGGAGAUGACGGUGGGCUGUCUUUUUUUGAGAAGACCAGUGAGAGUAAAGCAGUUGGGCAGAAAAAAAGCGAAAAGUGAAGACAAACCUCUUAAAAUGAGGGAAAUUGUAGAGCCACACGUGUUUUUUUUUUUUUUUUUUUUUUUUUUUCUUAAAAAAAAAAAGGAUAAUUACUGUUUGCUAAUAAAGAGUUUAAAACUAAAAUUGUCUGGGACAGUAAUAAAGGGAGCACCUGAUAUUUUAGCAAAUUAGCUAAGUCCAUUACAACACUAUGCUGAAAAUUUUUGCCUGUUUCGAGUGUGCUUCAGAUACUCAGAGGCAUUAUUUUGGGUGCGCAAGUAGUGGGGAGCUUUGGGGAAUUUGACAAGAUGCUCAAACUUUUCAGAAUUUGUUGGCAUAUGCACAGCCACAAUGAUGCAAAAAGUAAUACUAAAUAAAAAAUUAA